AUUGAACGCUGGCGGCAGGCUUAACACAUGCAAGUCGAGCGGAGCGAGGGUGCUUGCACCUUAGCUUAGCGGCGGACGGGUGAGUAAUGCUUAGGAAUCUGCCUAUUAGUGGGGGACAACAUUCCGAAAGGAAUGCUAAUACCGCAUACGCCCUACGGGGGAAAGCAGGGAUCUUCGGACCUUGCGCUAAUAGAUGAGCCUAAGUCGGAUUAGCUAGUUGGUGGGGUAAAGGCCUACCAAGGCGACGAUCUGUAGCGGGUCUGAGAGGAUGAUCCGCCACACUGGGACUGAAACACGGCCCAGACUCCUACGGGAGGCAGCAGUGGGGAAUAUUGGACAAUGGGCGGAAGCCUGAUCCAGCCAUGCCGCGUGUGUGAAGAAGGCCUUUUGGUUGUAAAGCACUUUAAGCGAGGAGGAGGCUCUUAAGGUUAAUACCCUUGAUGAGUGGACGUUACUCGCAGAAUAAGCACCGGCUAACACUGUGCCAGCCGCCGCCGUAAGAC
rnacentral:rRNA from 1 species